rnacentral:rRNA from 1 species
GAUGAACGCUGGCGGCGUGCCUAAUACAUGCAAGUCGAGCGAACGGACGAGAAGCUUGCUUCUCUGAUGUUAGCGGCGGACGGGUGAGUAACACGUGGAUAACCUACCUAUAAGACUGGGAUAACUUCGGGAAACCGGAGCUAAUACCGGAUGAUAUUUUGAACCGCAUGGUUCAAAAGUGAAAGACGGUCUUGCUGUCACUUAUAGAUGGAUCCGCGCUGCAUUAGCUAGUUGGUAAGGUAACGGCUUACCAAGGCAACGAUGCAUAGCCGACCUGAGAGGGUGAUCGGCCACACUGGAACUGAGACACGGUCCAGACUCCUACGGGGGCAGCAGUAGGGAAUCUUCCGCAAUGGGCGAAAGCCUGACGGAGCAACGCCGCGUGAGUGAUGAAGGUCUUCGGAUCGUAAAACUCUGUUAUUAGGGAAGAACAUAUGUGUAAGUAACUGUGCACAUCUUGACGGUACCUAAUCAGAAAGCCACGGCUAACUACGUG